GCAAGUUAUUCGACAUCCCUGAGAUCAUAAUAUGCCUGAGAUUUGAACGCAAACCGGUAGAUUAUUGUCUCAGAGUAAUUGAUAAACUGCA
rnacentral:pre_miRNA from 1 species